CCCAUUAAGAUUAUAAGUGGCAAGCAGAUAGGCUUAAAACUUUGCAUGUUUCGUCCGAGACCGAGCCGACGAAGUCACGUGUAUAAAUUUCAGAGCUGUUGAGCUCACGAAAGUGUGACUUGAUGAGUGUUAUUCGGACUUUGUGUUAGCGGAAGCAACUAUUCGAGAGCUAACCCACCACGUAAUACAAUAAAUGGAACUUUCGUAACGGAGAGAAA